CCAAAGGGAAGGCAUGGCAGGAGAAUCCACUUGCCGAGGCCUAGAGACUGCAAUCAAAACAGAGAAAAAGCAAAGAAAGUCUGGCCAUCCGGAGAACUGCCACUGCCAUCCAAGAGGCUGGAGACCACAGAGGCUACAGACAGAAUCUUAAAGGGGCUGGAAGCAACAUUCAGCAUGACCCUUUCUCUGGUCCAGAGGGGGAUUGCCAUAUCACUGUGCAUCUGCGGCAUGGGAGCGAGGACCUGCAGAGCACGCCUGCCACUCCUUCCCAGACACCAUAGUGUGAAGGUGUCCCUUUCUUCAAGCAAACUCAGUCCACGAUGGCAUCUUUACCCACUGGAGGUGGUUGAAAAGGAGGAGGAUAUGCG
ensembl:lncRNA